UGUGGAUAGGGGUGAAAGGCUAAUCAAACUCGGAGAUAGCUGGUUCUCCCCGAAAACUAUUUAGGUAGGGCCUCGUGUAUCACUGUAGGGGGUAGAGCACUGUCAUGGUAGUGGGGUCCAUUGCGGAUUACUGCGCCAUAGCAAACUCCGAAUACCUACAAGUGCAAGCACGGGAGACAGACAUCGGGUGCUAACGUCCGGUGUCAAGAGGGAAACAACCCAGACCGCCAGCUAAGGUCCCUAAUAUAUGCUAAGUGGGAAACGAAGUGGGAAGGCUAAAACAGUCAGGAGGUUGGCUUAGAAGCAGCCAUCCUUUAAAGAAAGCGUAAUAGCUCACUGAUCGAGUCGUCCUGCGCGGAAGAUGUAACGGGGCUAAGCAUAUAACCGAAGCUGCGGAUCACAGCAAUGUGAUGGUAGGAGAGCGUUCUGUAAGCCUGUGAAGGUGUCUUGUAAAGGAUGCUGGAGGUAUCAGAAGUGCGAAUGCUGACAUGAGUAGCGAUAAAGGGGGUGAAAAGCCCCCUCGCCGUAAGCCCAAGGUUUCCUGUUCAACGUUCAUCGGAACAGGGUGAGUCGGCCCCUAAGGCGAGGCAGAGAUGCGUAGCUGAUGGGAACAAGGUUAAUAUUCCUUGACCAUUGUUAGAUGCGAUGGGGGGACGGAUCGCGGAAAGUUGUCCGGGUGUUGGAAGUCCCGGUUCUUGCGUUGGAGAUGGCUAUUAGGUAAAUCCGGUAGCGUAAUUCAAGGGCGUGAGACGAGCGAAUUUAUUCGCGAAGCAAUUGGAAGUGGUUCCAAGAAAAGCCUCUAAGCUUCAGUCUAACAAGACCGUACCGCAAACCGACACAGGUGGGCGAGAUGAGUAUUCUAAGGCGCUUGAGAGAACUCAGGAGAAGGAACUCGGCAAAUUUGUACCGUAACUUCGGGAUAAGGUACGCCCUGGUAGUUUGACCCUGUACAAGGGGAGGACGAAAGGGUUGCAAUAAAAAGGUGGCUGCGACUGUUUAAUAAAAACACAGCACUCUGCAAACACGAAAGUGGACGUAUAGGGUGUGACGCCUGCCCGGUGCUGGAAGGUUAAAUGAAGGGGUGCAAGCUCCAGAUUGAAGCCCCAGUAAACGGCGGCCGUAACUAUAACGGUCCUAAGGUAGCGAAAUUCCUUGUCGGGUAAGUUCCGACCUGCACGAAUGGCGUAACGAUGGCCACACUGUCUCCUCCUGAGACUCAGCGAAGUUGAAAUGUUUGUGAUGAUGCAAUCUCCCCGCGGAAAGACGGAAAGACCCCAUGAACCUUUACUGUAGCUUUGCAUUGGAAUUUGAACAGGCUUGUGUAGGAUAGGUGGGAGGCAAAGAAGCUGGAACGCCAGUUUCAGUGGAGCCAACCUUGAAAUACCACCCUGGUGUGUUUGGAUUUCUAACCUUGGUCCGUGAUCCGGAUUGGAGACAGUGCAUGGUGGGCAGUUUGACUGGGGCGGUCUCCUCCCAAAUUGUAACGGAGGAGUUCGAAGGUUACCUAGAUACGGUCGGAAAUCGUAUUGAUUGUGCAAUGGCAAAAGGUAGCUUAACUGCGAGACUGACAAGUCGAGCAGGUGCGAAAGCAGGACAUAGUGAUCCGGUGGUUCUGUAUGGAAGGGCCAUCGCUCAACGGAUAAAAGGUACUCCGGGGAUAACAGGCUAAUUCCGCCCAAGAGUUCAUAUCGACGGCGGUGUUUGGCACCUCGAUGUCGGCUCAUCACAUCCUGGGGCUGAAGCAGGUCCCAAGGGUAUGGCUGUUCGCCAUUUAAAGUGGUACGCGAGCUGGGU
rnacentral:rRNA from 1 species